UGGGGAAUAUUGCACAAUGGGGGAAACCCUGAUGCAGCGACGCCGCGUGAAGGAAGAAGUAUUUCGGUAUGUAAACUUCUAUCAGCAAGGAAGAUAAUGACGGUACUUGACUAAGAAGCCCCGGCUAACUACGUGCCAGCAGCCGCGGUAAUACGUAGGGGGCAAGCGUUAUCCGGAUUUACUGGGCGUAAAGGGAGCGUAGGUGGCAUGGCAAGUCAGAUGUGAAAGCCCGGGGCUCAACCCCGGGACUGCAUUUGAAACUGCCAGGCUGGAGUGCAGAAGAGGUAAGGGAAAUUCCUGGCGUAGCGGGGAAAUGCGUAGAUAUUAGUGGGAGCGCCAGUGGCGAAGGCGGCUUACUGGACUAUAACUGACACUGAGGCUCGAAAGCGUGGG
rnacentral:rRNA from 1 species